rnacentral:rRNA from 1 species
AGUGAACGCUGGCGGUAGGCCUAACACAUGCAAGUCGAACGGCAGCACAGUAAGAGCUUGCUCUUACGGGUGGCGAGUGGCGGACGGGUGAGGAAUACAUCGUACUCUACUUUUUCGUGGGGGAUCACGUAGGGAAACUUACUCUAAUACCGCAUCCGACCUACGGGUGAAAGCAGGGGAUCUUCUGACCUUGCGCGAUUGAAUGAGCCGCUGUCGGAUUAGCUAGUUGGCGGGGUAAAUGCCCACCAAGGCGACGAUCCGUAGCUGGUCUGAGAGGAUGAUCGGCCACACUGGAACUGAGACACGGUCCAGACUCCUGCGGGAGGCAGCAGUGGGGAAUAUUGGACAAUGGGCGCAAGCCUGAUCCAGCCAUACCGCGUGGGUGAAGAAGGCCUUCGGGUUGUAAAGCCCUUUUGUUGGGAAAGAAAAGCAGCAGGUUAAUACCCCGCUGUUCUGACGGUAACCAAAGAAUAAGCACCGGCUAACUUCGUG